UACAGAGGGUGCGAGCGUUGUUCGGAAUUAUUGGGCGUAAAGCGCACGUAGGCGGUUCGUUAUGUCGGAUGUGAAAGCCCUUGGCUUAACCGAGGAAGUGCAUCCGAAACUGGCGAGCUAGAGUACUAAAGAGGAUCGCGGAAUUCCCGGUGUAGAGGUGAAAUUCGUAGAUAUCGGGAGGAACACCGGUGGCGAAGGCGGCGAUCUGGGUAGAUACUGACGCUGAGGUGCGAAAGCGUGGGGAGCAAACAGG
rnacentral:rRNA from 1 species